rnacentral:misc_RNA from 1 species
AAGACUAUAGACCUGCGGAGUACCUGCGGAGGGAUCAUUAACGAUUUCGGUGUAAAAAACCGUUUUCUACCUAUGUCUACGCGUACCACUUGUUUCCUCGGGGGGCUUGCCCCCCGCUAGGACCCUUUAUCAAACCUUUUUGUAAUAGCAGUCAGCGUCUGAUACUACGUUAAUUAUUAAAACUUUCAACAACGGAUCUCU